rnacentral:snoRNA from 1 species
UACCAAACCUUUUUGUCAGGGUGCUUCUCUAUCCGUUUUAGGAUAAACCUAUCUACAGAAGUGUCUGUUACUGUUUUGGAAGAGUAAUACUGUUCGCUUAUCCAUAUUUCCCCGUUCUGGGGAAGCCUAAUGGGUAAAUUAGAAGGACAACCUUUGUUUUAAAGGUAUACCUUCGCUUUUUAGAACGGUGAGGAUCUUAUGAGUUGAGCUUUUGUUACUUGAGACUUUAUCUCGGGCUCCAUACAAUAUGUUCGUAGUAAAGAUCCUCACAAUU